GGUGGGGCUGAAUUCACCUCCUUUUUUGUUUUUGUGUUUUUUAGGCGGUAGCUGCACGGGUGUGUGCUCCACCAGCCCCCACAGCAGUGGGAGAGAAGACAACAGUAAGCAUGAGUAAUGUCGUUUACCCCUCCCUCCUCCUCCCCUCUACCUCCCUCUCCCCCCUGUCGUUCUCCUUCAUUGCCACGGCCAUCAGAAUCCGUCCUCCCUCCCUCGCCAUCAUUCUGCUUGGUUAUGCAAUGCACAUUCCUCCCACGGAGACUAACUGGCGUUGGAGACCUAGCGUAACACUGCUGUCACUGGCAGUAGAUGUAGAUCCAUUUUGCCAUGGCGACUGUCUGCUGCUGCCUUUGCCUCUCUACAGACGUCUGCUCCAUGGGAUUUUACAGCUUUUUCUCCUCUUCUGGAAUAUCACAUGCCAGACUCUACUAAUUCAGGGACGUGCCCAUUCUUACCUAGCUCAGCGGAGGCUGGGUGUCACCGAGACAUUAUCAACUAAUCCACAGACAUAAUCAUGCACAGUGUUGGCAUGGGGGCUUCAGUGAUGGGCAAGAGGCUUUUUUGAAAGGCACUAAUUGCACUGUUCCCCAGAGGAGUAGCAAGCAAGAGGAAGGGACACUACAGAACGAGGGUGUGUGUAGAUUUACUGAUAAGCUGGGGAGGGAGGUUGAGACGUUGUGUGGAGGAGUUUCGGAAAAGGAGUGACAGGGAACUCAAGAGAGAAAGUAGACAGAAAGGAUGGGAGGAACGGUAGGGGCAAAUGGGGAGAGGGUAUCUCCUCGCCCCUCAAAAGAGGCUGCUAGUGCUUUAGCAGCAGAAAUGUAAAUCCGCUGAUAAAAACAGACUACAAAGACUUGUGAGGGGGAACUUAAUCAAAAGGGAAGUUGGGGGGGGGGUGGGUUGCUGAACCUGAGAGGUGGCGCUAUUAACUGGAGGAGUGGAGAAGUGACACAAGAAGGUUUUCACUGGAAGCGCUGCUGAGCACGGCAAAGUCACCGUGGCACUGCUACCUCCUAUUCCUCUCUCCGUCACUUUGUCUGUCGCUCGCAGGCACUGGGACUGUGGCUACAUAGCCAUUCUCUCCCCCCUUCUCCCUCUCUCCACAUGUAGCAUGCCUUUAACGCCAUGGUUUUCCACUGAAGAUCCCAAAAGCAUGCUGGAUUAUGGCGUCUUACACCUUAGACGCCUUAGGAUAAGUGUCCUCCUGCCAGGUUAGGUCAGCAUCAGGAUCAUGGGCACCACAGUCAUCACCCUUGAGGAUGUGCAGGCACUGGAGGUCAAGGAGGAGCAGGAGGAGUCCAUCUUGGCCAUGUUAGGCAUCAUUGGCACAUUCCUUAACCUCUUUGUAAUUGUUGUUGUUUACAUCUACACCACACUGUGAAGUGCCAAAGCAUAAAGGACUGCCAUCAGAAAAGACUUCCUCAAAAAAGGAGGAAGUGAGCAGUCUGGAAGGACAGGUCAAUUAGAAAGUGACACGUGUUGGGUACAGUAGUGACAUGAAUAUCUUCCCCAGAGAGAGGAGGAGGAAACUGGACAGACUGGAUAAGGCUGAAGACAAAGAAGCCAUACUGCCAAGUCACAGCCAUGAGCCGGGGAGAUAACAAAGGGCUGGAAAACAUGGCAGAAACAGGGAUAUGCUGGGACCAGGGUGAGCAGAGCCAGAUGGACAUGAGCAAACACCCAGCCAGGACUGACCCCCCUGUGGCCUGAUAGGAAAUACAAACUUCCACUUGAUCUCAUUUUCUUGGACUGCUGAACUUACUGGAAAGAUUAGCCAAACAAGACAGUCUUGUGGACAACACUGAGGCUUUCCAUUUAUUUGUACUUAUUUUUUAAGUUGGUGGGAUUGUAAUUGCUACUGGCAUUGAAUGGCUUUUAGGCAACAUGAUUAAAAGCAGAGAGAGAAGUAAGAGAUGCUGAGAAGCUUCCCUGAAGACACUAUUUGCCACCAUAUCCAAUAGUGGUCUACCUAUAUGGGUUUUUCAAUGGCCGAUGCCAAUAUUUAGAGAGCAGGGCGGUGAAUGGCCGAUAUUUAAUGCUGAUAUCAUGUUGAUGUUUUUUUGCAUCUGAUAAAAUAAAACAAUUUAAUAAUAAUAACAAACGAGACACAACAUUGUUGAACUUAAAUGAAUAUUAUAUAAGUUAUUGUUCGCAUUGUAUCUGUUUAGUUGUAGCGUAACUCGCAGCAUAGUUCUGAAAACUGA